rnacentral:rRNA from 1 species
UACGUAGGGUGCGAGCGUUGCCCGGAUUUAUUGGGCGUAAAGGGCGCGUAGGCGGUUUGUUAUGUCGGAUGUGAAAGCCCUUGGCUCAACUGAGGAAGUGCAUCCGAAACUGGCAAGCUAGAGUAUGUAAGAGGGUCGCGGAAUUCCCGGUAUAGAGGUGAAAUUCGUAGAUAUCGGGAGGAACACCGGUGGCGAAGGCGGCGACCUGGGACAAUACUGACGCUGAGGUGCGAAAGCGUGGGGAGCAAACAGG